rnacentral:rRNA from 1 species
CGACCGGCGCACGGGUGCGUAACGCGUAUGCAACCUACCUUUAACAGGGGGAUAACACUGAGAAAUUGGUACUAAUGCCCCAUAAUAUCAUAGAAGGCAUCUUUUAUGGUUGAAAAUUCCGAUGGUUAGAGAUGGGCAUGCGUUGUAUUAGCUAGUUGGUGGGGUAACGGCUCACCAAGGCGACGAUACAUAGGGGGACUGAGAGGUUAACCCCCCACACUGGUACUGAGACACGGACCAG